rnacentral:tRNA from 1 species
GCGGUGGAAGUCUUAUAGGAAAGACAUUUCGAUUCCAUCGAAAAGGUGUUGGUUCGACUCCAACCCACCGCU